AUAGCCGUUGGAAACGACGAAUAAUACCCUAUGACAUAAACUCUUCGCAUGAGGAGCUUAUCAAAGAUUUAUCGGUGUAAGAUGGACUCGCGUCUGAUUAGCUAGUUGGUGAGGUAACGGCCCACCAAGGCGACGAUCAGUAGCCGGCUUGAGAGAGUGUACGGCCACAUUGGGACUGAGACACGGCCCAGACUCCUACGGGAGGCAGCAGGC
rnacentral:rRNA from 1 species